rnacentral:rRNA from 1 species
UACAGAGGGGGCAAGCGUUGUUCGGAAUUACUGGGCGUAAAGGGCGCGUAGGCGGCCUGUUAAGUCGAACGUGAAAUCCCCGGGCUCAACCCGGGAACUGCGUCCGAUACUGGCAGGCUUGAAUUCGGGAGAGGGAUGCGGAAUUCCAGGUGUAGCGGUGAAAUGCGUAGAUAUCAGGAGGAACACCGGUGGCGAAGGCGCACAUCUGGCCCGAUACUGACGCUGAAGCGCGAAAGCUAGGGGAGCAAACAGG